ensembl:lncRNA
CUUCAAGACAAAAGAGUUAUGGGCAAGGAGCCAAAGGUUCUGACCUUACUGGUUUGUGCUUAAUGACGACUUUCCUCCUGCAAACACAGACCUACUUGCUUUUGUUUGGACUGUCACUGUACCAGGAUCGUGGCUGAGAAGCAUACCACAAUAAGCUGUCCUUACAGCACCAGAAAUUGUAAUCAUUGAAGCCUUGCACAAGUACAUCUCAGCAAAAAAGAUGUGUGUAGAGAAUGUAGGGGUGGCAGGAAAAAGACAGCUCACAGCUCUCUAAGUGCCAUGGACCAAGCCAGAUAUUUGCAAAAGACCAUUACUGAGAGAUGUUCCAGAGCUGAGCUGCUUCAUCCACUCCAAACGUCUCCCUUGGAUGUACUGACACGAUGUUGUGCAGCACAGGAACGUGGGAACCUCAGAG